rnacentral:rRNA from 1 species
UUAAGCUACUAAGGGCGUAUGGUGGAUGCCUUGGCACCAAGAAGCGAUGAAGGCCGUGGAUAACUGCGAAAAGCCUCGAUAAGCCGUAGCAGGCGUUAUAGUCGGGGAUUGCCGAAUGGGGAAACCCACCUAUUUACUAGGUAUCUUCCAAUGAAUUCAUAGUUGGAUGAAGCGAACGAGGGGAAGUGAAACAUCUCAGUACCCUCAGGAAAAGAAAUCUAUGAGAUUCCCUCAGUAGUGGCGAGCGAAAGGGGAACAGCCUAAACCUAAUUCAUGUAAAUGAAUCAGGGGUCGUGGGACCUCAAUAUGGGACCGAACAACUUAGCAGAGCGUUCUGGAAAGAACGGCCAAAGAGGGUGAUAGCCCCGUAAGCGAAAAGUUGUGAAGCCCUAGAGGAAUCCCGAGUACCACCGGACACGUGUAAUCCGGUGGGAAUCAGGGGGGACCACCCUCCAAGGCUAAAUAUUACUUCCGAACAAGUGGAAGUUGAAAAUUCCUUUGAUGAGCUGUGGAUAGGGGUGAAAGGCCAAUCAAACUGGGUGAUAGCUGGUUCUCUUCGAAAUAUAUUUAGGUAUAGCCUCGGAUAAAUUUUAUGGCGGAGGUAGAGCACUGAAUGGGCUAGGGGUCUUUACCAGAUUACCAAACCCAACCAAACUCCGAAUGCCGUUCAUAAGUACUCCGGGAGGCAGACACGGGGUGAUAAGGUCACGUGUCGAGAGGGAAAGAGCCCAGACCAACAGCUAAGGUCCCAAAAUGCAUGCUAAGUGGAGAACGUUGUGGGGUUACUGAGACAACUAGGAGGUUGGCUUAGAAGCAGCAAUCCUUUAAAGAAAGCGUAAUAGCUCACUAGUCUAGUGACCCUGCGCGGAAGAUAUAACGGGGCUCAAGCAUGUUACCGAAGCUUUGGAUGUGCAGCAAGUGCUGCACGUGGUAGAAGAGCGUUCUAGUGUAGGCUGAAGGUCAAUCGUGAGGAUGGCUGGACGAACUAGAAGUGAUCAUGUUCACGUAAGUAGCGUUUAACACGAGUGAAAAACUCGUGCGCCGUAAACUCAAGGGUUCCGGGGCAAGGAUAAUCCUCCUCAGGGUUAGUCGGGUCCUAAGGCGAGGCCAAUAGGCGUAGUCGAUGGCAACACGGUUAAUAUUCCGUGACCAGAAUAAACGUAGUUAAGGAGUGACGGGGUAGGUAGUCUCGAGCCUUUAUUGGUUCUGGGUUGAAGUGUUUAGGAGGUAACGUAGGCAAAUCCGCGUUGCAACUCUGAGACAUAAGCGACUGUGCUUUACGCACGGGAGUCGAGAUGAGCCAUGCCUCCAAGAAAAUCUUCGUAAUGUUUUUUUAUUCUGCCCGUACCGUAAACCGACUCAGGUGAGUGGGAUGAAUAUUCUCAGGCGAUUGGGUUAAAUCUGGUUAAGGAACUCGGCAACUUAACACCGUAACUUCGGGAAAAGGUGUGUCUCGCCCCGUGAGGGGCAGAUCGCAGAGAAAUGGGAGUAGCGACUGUUUAUCAAAAACACAGGCAUGUGCAAAGUCUCAAGACGACGUAUACGUGCUGACGCCUGCCCGGUGCUGGAAGGUUAAGAGGAUUAGUUAGCCGCAAGGCGAGGCUGAGAAUCGAAGCCCCAGUAAACGGCGGCCGUAACUAUAACGGUCCUAAGGUAGCGAAAUUCCUUGUCGGGUAAGUUCCGACCUGCACGAAUGGCGUAACGACUUCUCCGGUGUCUCAAC